rnacentral:tRNA from 1 species
GUUGUGGUAGUUUAAUAAAACCUUAGUCUGUGACACUAAAAAUGGAAAUCUUCCCCACAAC